rnacentral:rRNA from 1 species
UACGUAGGUGGCAAGCGUUGUCCGGAAUCACUGGGCGUAAAGCGCGCGCAGGCGGCGAUCUACGUCUGGGGCGAAAGCCCGGAGCUCAACUCCGGGACUGCCUUGGAUACGGGAUCGCUUGAGGAUUGGAGAGGCAAGGGGAAUUCCACGUGUAGCGGUGAAAUGCGUAGAGAUGUGGAGGAACACCUGUGGCGAAGGCGCCUUGCUGGCCAAUUACUGACGCUGAGGCGCGAAAGCGUGGGGAGCAAACAGG